UACGUAGGUGGCAAGCGUUGUCCGGAUUUACUGGGCGUAAAGAGCGCGCAGGCGGUCGUUCAAGUCACGUGUGAAAGCCCCCCGGCUCAACUGGGGAGGGUCACGCGAUACUGAUCGACUCGAAGGCAGGAGAGGGAAGUGGAAUUCCCGGUGUAGUGGUGAAAUGCGUAGAUAUCGGGAGGAACACCAGUGGCGAAGGCGACUUCCUGGCCUGUUCUUGACGCUGAGGCGCGAAAGCUAGGGGGAGCAAACGGGG
rnacentral:rRNA from 1 species